GGUUUAGGGUUUAGAGUUUGGGUUUAGGAUUUAGGGUUUAGAGUUUGGGUUUAGGAUUUAUGAUUUAGAGUUUAGAAUUUAGGUUUAGAAUUUAGGAUUUAGAGUUUGGGUUUACGGUUUUGUUAGUAGCAUCAUUUUCUUUUUUCAAUUAUUUUUGAUUUUUUUUUAAAAAGUUAAUAUUUUUAUUAAUAAUAUAGUUGACACUUUGAUUGGUUAUAAGAAAUUUGAUGAAUUUAAAAGUAAACCUAAGUUUUGUCCUAUAUAAAUCUA
rnacentral:lncRNA from 1 species